rnacentral:rRNA from 1 species
UACGUAGGGGGCGAGCGUUGUCCGGAGUUACUGGGCGUAAAGCGCACGCAGGCGGUCUGCUAAGUUUGGAGUGACAGUUGGUGGCUUAACUGCCAAAGUGCUUCGAAAACUGACAGACUUGAGGGCUUCAGAGGGACACGGAAUUCCGGGUGGAGUGGUGAAAUGCAUAGAGAUCCGGAGGAACACCAAAGGCGAAGGCAGUGUCCUGGGGAGUACCUGACGCUCAGGCACGAAAGCGCGGGGAGCGAACAGG